rnacentral:rRNA from 1 species
GACGAACGCUGGCGGCACGCUUAACACAUGCAAGUCGAACGGAGAACAUUGAGCUUGCUUAAUGUUCUUAGUGGCGGACGGGUGAGUAACACGUGAGUAACCUGCCUCUGAGAGUGGGAUAGCUUCUGGAAACGGAUGGUAAUACCGCAUAACAUCAUGGAUUCGCAUGUUUCUAUGAUCAAAGAUUUAUCGCUCAGAGAUGGACUCGCGUCUGAUUAGCUAGUUGGUAAGGUAACGGCUUACCAAGGCGACGAUCAGUAGCCGGACUGAGAGGUUGAUCGGCCACAUUGGGACUGAGACACGGCCCAGACUCCUACGGGAGGCAGCAGUGGGGAAUAUUGCACAAUGGGGGAAACCCUGAUGCAGCGAUGCCGCGUGGAGGAAGAAGGUUUUCGGAUUGUAAACUCCUGUUGAAGAGGACGAUAAUGACGGUACUCUUUUAGAAAGCUCCGGCUAACUACGUGCCAGCAGCCGCGGUAAAAC